UACGUAGGGGGCAAGCGUUAUCCGGAAUUACUGGGUGUAAAGGGAGCGUAGACGGUAAUGUAAGUCUGGAGUGAAAGGCGGGGGCCCAACCCCCGGACUGCUCUGGAAACUAUGUUACUAGAGUGCAGGAGAGGUAAGCGGAAUUCCUAGUGUAGCGGUGAAAUGCGUAGAUAUAUGGAGGAACACCCGUGGCGAAAGCGGCUCUCUGGCCUGUAACUGACACUGAGGCUCGAAAGCGUGGGGAGCAAACAGG
rnacentral:rRNA from 1 species